GACCAGACUCCUACGGGAGGCAGCAGUGGGGAAUAUUGCACAAUGGGGGAAACCCUGAUGCAGCAACGCCGCGUGAGUGAAGAAGUAUUUCGGUAUGUAAAGCUCUAUCAGCAGGGAAGAAGAUGACGGUACCUGAUUAAGAAGCCCCGGCUAACUACGUGCCAGCAGCCGCGGUAAUACGUAGGGGGCAAGCGUUAUCCGGAUUCACUGGGUGUAAAGGGAGCGUAGACGGCGACGCAAGUCUGGAGUGAAAGCCCGGGGCCCAACCCCGGGACUGCUCUGGAAACUGUAAAGCUGGAGUGCGGGAGGGGCAGGCGGAAUUCCUGGUGUAGCGGUGAAAUGCGUAGAUAUUAGGAGGAACACCAGUGGCGAAGGCGGCCUGCUGGACUGCAACUGACGUUGAGGCUCGAAGGCGUGGGGAGCAAACAGGAUUAGAUACCCCUGUAA
rnacentral:rRNA from 1 species